CUCAAGUUGAAGGUCAUCGGCGUUAAGCGUGAUUAAAGUUCUCUUAGAUUAGGGCCAAAUUAAUACUUAGUUGUUUAAAGCUUGUCAUUAAGAGGAACACAAACGAAAGUUGCCCUAACCCACACACUUGAAUACACGACAGCUGGGGGACAAACUGGGAUCAGAUACCCCACUAUGCCCAGCCGUAAACAAUUAAUCCACAACCAUAAGCGCCAGGGAAUUACGAGCCAAGCUUAAAACCCAAAGGAUUUGACGGUGUCCCACCCCCCUAGAGGAGCCUGUUCUAUAAUCGAUGAUCCCCGCUACACCCGACCAUUUCUUGCUUAUCAGUCUGUAUACCUCCGUCGAAAGCCUACCAUGUGAACGCCCCCACAGUAGGUUCAAUGAUCCCCGUCAAUACGUCAGGUCAAGGUGCAGCUUAAGAAAUGGGAAGCGAUGGGCUACAAUUUCUAACCUAGAACAAACGAAAGGCUAUGUGAAAUCAUAGUCACGAAGGCGGAUUUAGUAGUAAAAAGAAAAUAGAGUGUUCUUUUUAACCUGGCUCUGGGACGCGUACACACCGCCCGUCACCCUCUUCGAUAGUGCUAACCCACAGUUUAUAACCUAUUUAUACGUCUGAGAAGAGGCAAGUCGUAACAUGGUAAGUGUACUGGAAAGUGCACUUGGUAUAUUA
rnacentral:rRNA from 1 species